rnacentral:rRNA from 1 species
UACGUAGGGUGCAAGCGUUGUCCGGAAUUAUUGGGCGUAAAGAGCUCGUAGGCGGUCCAUUAAGUCGGAAGUGAAAUCUCAGGGCUCAACCCUGAAAUUGCUUUCGAUACUGGUGGACUUGAGGCAGGUAGGGGAAGGUGGAAUUCCUGGUGUAGCGGUGAAAUGCGCAGAUAUCAGGAGGAACACCAGUGGCGAAGGCGGCCUUCUGGGCCUGUUCUGACGCUGAGGAGCGAAAGCGUGGGGAGCAAACAGG